UACGGGGGGGGCAAGCGUUGUUCGGAAUUACUGGGCGUAAAGGGCGCGUAGGCGGUCUGCUAAGUUGGGUGUGAAAACUCUGGGCUUAACCCAGAGCCUGCAUUCAAUACUGACAGGCUAGAGUUCUGGAGGGGAUAGCGGAAUUCCUGGUGUAGCGGUGAAAUGCGUAGAUAUCAGGAGGAACACCGGUGGCGAAGGCGGCUAUCUGGACAGUUCCUGACGCUGAGGCACGAAGGUCAGGGGAGCAAACGGG
rnacentral:rRNA from 1 species